UCCCGAGUGUUUCUACACAGCAUACUGUGAAAAUAUACUCCGAAAGUUCAACAUGAAAUAUUUUUAUUUUUCGCCCCGGGGUGUUGGUGGAAAGGGGGCCUGAGUGGCCAGAGUAGCCCGCCGCCAUCUUAGGCCAUAGUGUUGUUGUCGUCUACCGAGGGAGAAUAUAUGCCGCUAGUGAAGUGUUUUUAAGAAGAAUUGUUGUGAAGUUUUGCUGGAGAGUAACUAUUUUCUUCUUCAAUCAGUGGAGGGUGUCGAUAGCUGUCAGCUCCAGUGCCAACCCGUCCCAAGUUCUUUCCGAGCUGAGCGACCACUUUAACCGUGUUCUUGUUGAUGAGACUUCUUUAAGCCAAUUUGGCUGAAGGAAAGCCGUCCCAAUACCAGAGAAGAUCAAGUGCAUUUACGUUACCAUCAAUAUCAAAUACCAUACUGUUAUUUUUCAUUUUGGAAAAUAUAUUACUGGAAUCUAA